UAAGGAAUAUUGGUCAAUGGGCGCAAGCCUGAACCAGCCAUGCCGCGUGCAGGAAGACGGCCCUAUGGGUUGUAAACUGCUUUUGUCAGGGAAUAAACCUUUGUACGAGUACAGAGCUGAAGGUACCUGAAGAAUAAGCAUCGGCUAACUCCGUGCCAGCAGCCGCGGUAAUACGGAGGAUGCAAGCGUUAUCCGGAUUCAUUGGGUUUAAAGGGUGCGCAGGCGGAUUGGUAAGUCAGGGGUGAAAUCCCACAGCUCAACUGUGGAACUGCCCUUGAUACUGUCAGUCUAGAGUAUAGUUGAAGUUGGCGGAAUGUGUCAUGUAGCGGUGAAAUGCUUAGAUAUGACACAGAACACCGAUCGCGAAGGCAGCUAGCUAAGCUAUAACUGACGCUCAUGCACGAAAGCGUGGGGAUCAAACA
rnacentral:rRNA from 1 species